UACAGAGGGGGCAAGCGUUGUCCGGAUUUACUGGGCGUACAGCGCGCGCAGGCGGUUGCGUAUGUGAGCGGUGACAUCCGCGGGCUCAACCCGCGGCGGCCCGCUUACACAGCGCGACUGGAGGCAGGGAGAGGGAUGUGGAAUACCCGGUGGAGCGGUGAAAUGCGUAGAGAUCGGGUGGAACACCAGCGGCGAAGGCGGCAUCCUGGCCCUGUACUGACGCUGAGGCGCGAUAGCGUGGGGGGCAAACAGG
rnacentral:rRNA from 1 species